GACGAACGCUGGCGGCGUGCUUAACACAUGCAAGUCGAACGGAAAGGCCCUGCUUUUGUGGGGUGCUCGAGUGGCGAACGGGUGAGUAACACGUGAGUAACCUGCCCUUGACUUUGGGAUAACUUCAGGAAACUGGGGCUAAUACCGGAUAGGAGCUCCUGCUGCAUGGUGGGGGUUGGAAAGUUUCGGCGGUUGGGGAUGGACUCGCGGCUUAUCAGCUUGUUGGUGGGGUAGUGGCUUACCAAGGCUUUGACGGAUAGCCGGCCUGAGAGGGUGACCGGCCACAUUGGGACUGAGAUACGGCCCAGACGCCUACGGGAGGCAGCAGUGGGGAAUAUUGCGGAAUGGGCGGAAGCCUGAUGCAGCAACGCCGCGUGCGGGAUGACGGCCUUCGGGUUGUAAACCGCUUUCGCCUGUGACGAAGCGUGAGUGACGGUAAUGGGUAAAGAAGCACCGGCUAACUACGUG
rnacentral:rRNA from 1 species